rnacentral:rRNA from 1 species
GAUGAACGCUAGCUACAGGCUUAACACAUGCAAGUCGCAGGACUCGCGCCCGGGUGAGUAACGCGUAUCCAACCUUCCCAUAACUACGGGAUAACCCGUUGAAAUACGGCCUACUACCUUAUGGUUUUGGCUGGGGUUGCGUCUGAUUAGCUUGUUGGCGGGGUAACGGCCAAGCAAGGAGGCGAUCAGUAGGGGUUCGGAGAGGAAGGUCCCCCACAUUGGAACUGAGACACAGUCCAAACUCGUACGGGAGGCAGCAGUGAGGAAGAGUGUGGAAUGGGCGAGAGCCUGAACCAGCCAAGUAGCGUGCAGGAUGACGGCCUAGGGGUUGUAAACUGCUUUUAUGGGGGGAGAGGUACAAGAAGAAUAAGGACCGGCUAAUUCCGUGCCAGCAGCCGCGGUAAUUC